GGUGUUGUGGUGCAGUGGCAGCACGUCACAUUGUGGUCAACGACAGUAUCCUGUGAAGGUCCUCGGUGAGCUCAGUCAUACUCAUAUAUACCAGUGGUUGGGUGUGUUCUAACAGAUAUAGGUUCGAUCCCGGGCAACACCA